rnacentral:rRNA from 1 species
CUACGGGAGGCACCAGUGGGGAAUAUUGCACAAUGGAGGAAACUCUGAUGCAGCAACGCCGCGUGGAGGAUGACACAUUUCGGUGCGUAAACUCCUUUUAUGUGAGAAGAUAAUGACGGUAUCACAUGAAUAAGCACCGGCUAACUCCGUGCCAGCAGCCGCGGUAAUACGGAGGGUGCAAGCGUUACUCGGAAUCACUGGGCGUAAAGCGCGCGCAGGCGGCUUUUCAAGUUGGAUGUGAAAUCCUAUGGCUUAACCAUAGAGCUGCAUCCAAAACUGUUAAGCUAGAGUCUGGGAGGGGAGAAUGGAAUUAGAUGUGUAGGGGUGAAAGCCGUAGAGAUAACUAGGAAUACCAAAAGCGAAGGCGGCCUUCUGGAACAGUACUGACGCUGAGGCGCGAAAGCGUGGGGAGCAAACAGGAUUAGAUACCCCCGUAGUC